AUGUUUGUUUCACAUUCUCCCAUGAGGUUCUCUUCAGGCCUCACUGUUAUAAAAAACUACACUACAAAAAGAAGUAACGAAAUAUUAAAACACGAAGGCAAGCAUGACCAUAAGCAGAGACAACAAGUCACAAGGGUGCUUUUAUCCUUCCUUUCUUGGCAGAGGACCGAGUGCCUGUGUUUGAUCAGUAACACAAAUAAGUUAACCAGCUGCUCUUCCACUAGCAUGAAGGACUUGGGCUCCGAUCCUUCCCAAGAAUUAAGCUGCCAUUCAGCACAUCCCUUAGUGUUUUGGGAAUUUACAUUAAUAUUAAGUUCAUAUUCUCAAUAUGUUCCUGUGGCUUUACAUUGGUUGCCCUAAUUCAAGAGGGAUACGGAAAAAUUGGACAGGCCACCUCCACAUUCCUGAAGACUCAUACAGAUGAGUAAGCCAUUGAAUAACUCAAUCAUAAUAAAGAAGGUUAAAGUAGUUGGACUUGUUUAGCC
rnacentral:lncRNA from 1 species